AUCUAUUCUUUCUCUCUUUCUCUUUGCGAAUUCAGUUCUUCAUUAUUCACUUCUGAUCCAGCUCUUAGAACCCUAAACUAAUACCCUUUGACUUAACCCCCGAAACUAUAGAGGGUCCUUCUCUGCCUCUUGAGAGCGAGACAUUGGACUCGAUGGCGUUAAGGUUGAGGAGAAGGGGAUCUGUGUCGGCAGUGAGAGGGUCAGCGAGGACCAAAUCGGAGCUCAGACGCAGUACCAGUAGCAGUAGCAGAGUUGAGAUCAGAACCGCGAUUAAGAUGAGACUCUGAAUUUGAUUAAGAAGAGAGAGUGGAGGAAGCAAUAUUCUAAAAAACGCUAGGCGUUAAUCGGGCGGACAGCUAAAAAUCAGCGCCCAGAGGAUUAAUCGGGGAUUAAUCGGGGAUUAAUCGGGGAUUAAUCUAAGCGGCUAAGGAUCUCCGGGCGCCUAGGCGGUUCUAGGCGGGGAUUUUUAGAACAUUGGGAGGAAGAGAGGGACUCUGAAUUCUCAGCCGCCAAACGCAUCGUCCUUCACCGUAGACUACAGCCAUCGAUUCUUCACUCUAAUUGCUCUGCUGCUAGGCAGAGGAUCUUCGGCUCUGAGGAAACCGGUGAUGCACUGGUAUCUGAUUUUUAUAUGUUUUAUUUUCAUUCGGUCUCGACUUUUAUCAACUUAAAUUAUAACCAGGUACAAGGAACGGCUGCAAAUAAAGGGAGGAGAGAGACAAUGCAGGAGGAACAAAAUUUGCCAAGUGCUUGUCUGCAAUGAGACUGGCCACCUGAGCAAGCAUUGUCCUAAAAACUCUCAUGGGAUCCGAAGGUAAAAUAUGUUGAGGUGCAACACAUUUGGCACUAGACUGUCCUGACAAGGACAAUAGAAAUAUGUGGAGGUGCAACACAUUUGUAAAC